rnacentral:rRNA from 1 species
GACGAACGCUGGCGGCAUGCCUAACACAUGCAAGUCGAACGAGACCGUCGUGUCUAGUUGCGCACGUGUGCUUACCGCGGGGUAACCUGCCCGUAGGUUCGGAAUCACUCCCCUUGGGGUGUGCUAAUGCCGGAUAAUGUCUUCCGACCAAAGAGUUUUCGCCGUUGGGUGGGCCCUCGUUGGAUUAGCUAGUUGGUAGGGUAAAAGCAUACCAAGGAGAAGUUCCAUAGCUGGUCGGAUAGGAUGGUCAGCCACAAUGGGAAUGAGACCCGGACCAGAACGGGACGGGAGGGAGAAGUGGGGAAUAUUGGAGACUGGGCGCAAGUCUGAUCCAGCCAUGCCGCGGGAGUGAUGCAGGCCUUAGGGUUGUAAAGCCCUUUUAGCCGGGAUGAUAAUGACAGUAACGGGAGAAUAAGCUCCGGCUAACUCCGUG